CGCCUCCCUUUAGCCAGGAUCCUACUCGUCCCGAACGCAAGCAACGAGGCAGAUGCCUGCUCCAGACUGCUCAGCAUCAGCCACCACUCGGCUGGGAGCGAAGAGACAGUCUCGGCAGUGCUCCUACCUCUUCGUUCCUGUCCCUUCGUUCCUCCAGUAAAUAACUUGCCAGGAGAAAAAAACAGCCCUUGCCAGCGAGCUACUCCUCAGCCUGCUUGCUCCGCCACCCGCACCUCGCCCCACGUCCCCCAUCGCCCGCCCGUCCCAGCACCCUGCCAAAGGAGCCUCGCUGUGGCCAAGCCGAGCGGCGGGGUCGGUGGGUCUGAGCCCCCGCAGCCUCUGCAGAGCCAACACCGCAAAGCGCUUGCUCUUGUCAGAGAGCUGCGGAGGGUGACAGCUCCUCACUGUGCUGUGACAGCAGAAUCCGAGAGACGGCUGCUGCUGAGCAUCGCGUGCUGCUGCCCAGCAGGGAAAGGCAGACCAUGGUUUUGCAGUGAUGAAGCCAGACAGCCCUUCCAGCCCUCCAGAAAACCGCUCACAGAGGCUGCAAGGCAACGGCACAUGUUCUCAUCUCUCCUUCCCCAUGGACCAGAGCUCGGUUUGCAGGGUUUUUAUCCCCCUGUGGUGCUUGCCUGCCUGCCUGUGUUUGAAAAGGGAAUAAAAGCAAACGGCAUCUGCAUGGUGCAGUUCAUUGUGGCAACUGUCAUGCAACUGUUUUGCCUCUCAGGAGGAAACCAACUGUGCCAAAGACCUCGACUUUCAGGUGAGGACUGUUGAGCCAUCACAGCCCCCUCCAAGUCACCCUGGGACAGGCCACACACCCACAGGUCCUUCCUUACUAAGGGGGCUAAGGCAGAG
rnacentral:lncRNA from 1 species